GGGUGGUUAGCUCAGUUGGGAGAGCGACGGCCUUACAAGCCGUAGGUCACAGGUUCGACCCCUGUACCACCCACCA
rnacentral:tRNA from 24 species